rnacentral:rRNA from 1 species
CCGAAUGGUUCAGAGGGAAAAGGAGCAAUUCGCUUUGGGAUGGACUCGCGUCCGAUUAGCUAGAUGGUGAGGUAAACGGCCCACCAUGGCGACGAUCGGUAGCCGGACUGAGAGGUUGAUCGGCCACAUUGGGACUGAGACACGGCCCAGACUCCUACGGGAGGCAGCAGUAGGGAAUCUUCGGCAAUGGACGGAAGUCUGACCGAGCAACGCCGCGUGAGUGAAGAAGGUUUUCGGAUCGUAAAGCUCUGUUGUAAGAGAAGAACGAGUGUGAGAGUGGAAAGUUCACACUGUGACGGUAUCUUACCAGAAAGGGACGGCUAACUACGUGCCAGCAGCCGCGGUAAUACGUAGGUCCCGAGCGUUGUCCGGAUUUAUUGGGCGUAAAGCGAGCGCAGGCGGUUAGAUAAGUCUGAAGUUAAAGGCUGUGGCUUAACCAUAGUACGCUUUGGAAACUGUUUAACUUGAGUGCAGAAGGGGAGAGUGGAAUUCCAUGUGUAGCGGUGAAAUGCGUAGAUAUAUGGAGGAACACCGGUGGCGAAAGC